rfam:Schistosoma haematobium scaffold1398_6, whole genome shotgun sequence.
AUCUAACUGACGAGUUCCAAAUAGGACGAAAUGAUGCGCUUCAAACUAGAU